AUUGAACGCUGGCGGCAUGCUUUACACAUGCAAGUCGAACGGUAACAGGCCUUCGGGUGCUGCCGAGUGGCGCACGGGUGAGUAAUGCAUCGGAACGUACCCAGAGGUGGGGGAUAGCGCAGCGUAAGCUGUGCUAAUACCGCAUGUGAUCUGAGCAUGAAAGCGGGGGACCGCGCAGCAAUGUUUGGCCUCGCGCCUUUGGAGCGUCCGAUUUUGGAUUAGCUAGUUGGUCGGGCAAAGGCCUCCCCAGGCAACGAUCCGUAGCUGGUCAUGGUGGACGGCCGACUGCACUAGGACUUGAACACGGCCCAGAGUCCUACGAGAGGCAGCAUUGGGGAAUUUGAGACAAAGGGCGCAAGCCUGAUCCAGCAAGGCCGCGUGCGGGAAGGCGGUCUACGGGCUGGAAACCGGUUUUUGCAGGAAAGAAACGGUGUCAGCUAUUGCCAGGCGAUAAUGAUGGUACCUGCAGAAUAAGCAACGGCUAACUACGGG
rnacentral:rRNA from 1 species